GUUUACAUAGUUUAACAAAACAUUACACUUUCACUGUAAAAAUAAAGGAAUCUUUUGUAAAUA
rnacentral:tRNA from 1 species